UUCAAAGUUUUUAUUUCUUUGAUAAUAAUAAAUUGAUAUUUUGCUCACUCGGAACGAAUAUCAUCUGGAUAGCAUACCUAGCAAAAUACUCAUUCCUUGGGGAUGAGAACCAUACAAAGGGGGUGAUUACAACAUUCAUAUAUUAAAUAUCACCAGGACAUAGCUAACAUUCAAUAAAUAGGCAUAACACAAUCAAUGACGUCAUCAAUUCUGAGGAUUGGUACAACAUCAAUACAAAUUGCUCCCAAUUAGAGGAGUGUCGAAUAAAAAAACUAUUUAUAGAUAUUUAUCCGUGUGGCAUGAAUCACAACAUCAAAUAAGAAUGGGGAUUUGAUAAUGUACAGACGGGUUCUAUUAUCAAAUACAUAUAACAAACACAAUUUGUAUAUAUUACAUAUUUUAGAGAUAUCUUGCAACAUCUUCAAAAUCGGUAUUAACCAAUAUAAAUUAAAAACGGACAUAUUUGUAGGUUCUAAUUCAUCAACGUUCUUAUGAAGACAAUAGCAAAAUGACAGGCCAAAGGAAGAAAGAAAUUUCACAACUUGAGAUUUCUUUAUUGGUCUAAGCUAAAUUCAACAAAUUACCCAUAUUUAGUAUGUUUGUGAAAAUGGGUGCAUAGCCAUGACGAAUAGAUUACCGUAAUUUUAUUUAAGCGGUAAGUUUAUUUUAGCGGUAAUUUUAUUUUAGCGUUAAUGUUAUUUUAGCGUUAAUGUUAUAUUAUUUUAGGGGUAAUUUUAUUUUAGGGGUAAUUUUAUUUCAUUGAAAAUGUUAUAGUUGAAAUCUUAUUUUAGCGAAAACGUUAUUUUAGUGAAAAAAUGUGUUGGCAGAAAUCUUAUUCGAGUUAAAACUUUUUAAAAUAUCUAGUGGAAAUCUAACUUUUUAUGGAAAUCUUAGUAUGAUACAUUACCAGGAAGCAUACCAGAUACCAUUCUUACCAAAUUUAUGUAGAAAUUUUCAAAAUAAAAAAUUGCAUUAACACAAUAUGUGCACUUCUGCAAAACAAAUGCUCACACAAUUUAAUUGAAAGAAAGUCAAAAGUAUAAAAUUUGUGUUGAAGAUUUGAGCUACACUAUGUUCUUAGGUAAAGUUUUCACAAUACUAUGGAAUCUGUGUUGGAGAUUUGGGUCAAGUAAAGCAGAAAAAAUAUGUUUACAUUUUAAAUAUAUCCAUCUGCAAUAUCUAUCUUAUUUCUAUAUUUUCCUUUAGAAUAACUUUACUUUGUGACUCUAUGCAAAAUGAACACAUUUCUGAUUUGGCAUUGGUGUUCAACACUGUUUUCAACUUGAAUUUACACAUCAUUAUGCUCCCCAAUAAAGACAAUAUAAUUAUACAUAUACACAAUAAUCUAUCUUAGAUUUGAACAGAGUUUGUAUUCUGUUGCAUCUUAUCGAAAAAACACUGAUAGUCAGCCCACCACAAAACUUCACAAGAAUCCAGUAAAACACAAAUAGCUUAUCAACCACUCUAUCUGUAAAGCCUGCAGCAGUCUAGAGUGAUUUCAGUAACAAACAAACAACAACAGCUCUAGGCAUACACUUAUCAAUAUAUACAUAAAUACACAACUGACAAUACUAUUGCUGAACAUUUUACUUUGACACCAAAAUUGUAUUUUUGAAGAAUUAGGAUUUCUAAUACCUACACUUUUGCAUUUUGCAGUAAAAUUUGAUGCAAUGAAUGCAUCAAAAACAGCCAUGGGGAAUUGGGCUUUCAAUGCAAGUUUGACGACAUUAUUGGGAAUUCUGUGCAGGGAAAUUUGAACACUGCAACCAUUUCACCGACACGUAGGUGUAUACAACAAAAGAUCAGAAUGAUACAUAGGUGUAUUCAACAAAAGAUCAGAAUGAUACAUAGGUGUAUACAACAAAAGAUCAGAAUGAUACAUAGGUGUAUACAACAAAAGAUCAGAAUGAUACAUAGGUGUAUAUACAACAAAAGAUCAGAAUGAUACAUAGGUGUAUUCAACAAAAGAUCAGAAUGAUACAUAGGUGUAUACAACAAAAGAUCAGAAUGAUACAUAGGUGUAUAUACAACAAAAGAUCAGAAUCAUACAUAGGUGUAUACAACAAAAGAUCAGAAUAAUACAUAGGUGUAUUCAACAAAAGAUCAGAAUGAUACAUAGGUGUAUACAACAAAAGAUCAGAAUGAUACAUAGGUGUAUUCAACAAAAGAUCAGAAUGAUACAUAGGUGUAUACAACAAAAGAUCAGAAUGAUACAUAGGUGUAUACAACAAAAGAUCAGAAUGAUACAUAGGUGUAUUCAACAUAAGAUCAGAAUGAUACAUAGGUGUAUACAACAAAAGAUCAGAAUGAUACAUAGGUGUAUACAACAAAAGAUCAGAAUGAUACAUAGGUGUAUUCAACAAAAGAUCAGAAUGAUACAUAGGUGUAUACAACAAAAGAUCAGAAUGAUACAUAGGUGUAUACAGCAAAAGAUCAGAAUGAUACAUAGGUGUAUUCAACAAAAGAUCAGAAUGAUACAUAGGUGUAUACAACAAAAGAUCAGAAUGAUACAUAGGUGUAUACAACAAAAGAUCAGAAUGAUACAUAGGUGUAUACAACAAAAGAUCAGAAUGAUACAUAGGUGUAUACAGCAAAAGAUCAGAAUGAUACAUAGGUGUAUUCAACAAAAGAUCAGAAUGAUACAUAGGUGUAUACAACAAAAGAUCAGAAUGAUACAUAGGUGUAUAUACAACAAAAGAUCAGAAUCAUACAUAGGUGUAUACAACAAAAGAUCAGAAUGAUACAUAGGUGUAUUCAACAAAAGAUCAGAAUGAUACAUAGGUGUAUACAACAAAAGAUCAGAAUGAUACAUAGGUGUAUACAACAAAAGAUCA